CAGCACUGUCAAGCAAUAACACAUCCAGGAAUCCAUUUUGAUAGUCUUUGGGUAGAAACAGCAGAACCUUUAGAUCAAUCUUGAGCUCUUGCUGCUGC